CAAGUCGAACGGUGAAGAGGAGCUUGCUCCUUGGAUCAGUGGCGAACGGGUGAGUAACACGUGAGCAAUCUGCCCUUGACUCUGGGAUAACUGCGGGAAACUGUAGCUAAUACCGGAUAUUACCUUGGAAGGCAUCUUCUGGGGUGGAAAGAAUUUUGGUCAAGGAUGAGCUCGCGGCCUAUCAGCUAGUUGGUGAGGUAAUGGCUCACCAAGGCGACGACGGGUAGCCGGCCUGAGAGGGUGACCGGCCACACUGGGACUGAGACACGGCCCAGACUCCUACGGGAGGCAGCAGUGGGGAAUAUUGCACAAUGGGCGCAAGCCUGAUGCAGCAACGCCGCGUGAGGGACGACGGCCUUCGGGUUGUAAACCUCUUUUAGUAGGGAAGAAGCGACUGGGUUUUCCUGGGAGUGACGGUACCUGCAGAAAAAGCACCGGCUAACUACGUGCCAGCAGCCGCGGUAAUACGUAGGGUGCAAGCGUUGUCCGGAAUUAUUGGGCGUAAAGAGCUCGUAGGCGGUUUGUCGCGUCUGCUGUGAAAACCCGAGGCUCAACCUCGGGCCUGCAGUGGGUACGGGCAGACUAGAGUGCGGUAGGGGAGAUUGGAAUUCCUGGUGUAGCGGUGGAAUGCGCAGAUAUCAGGAGGAACACCAAUGGCGAAGGCAGAUCUCUGGGCCGUAACUGACGCUGAGGAGCGAAAGCAUGGGGAGCGAACAGGAUUAGAUACCCUGGUAGUCCAUGCCGUAAACGUUGGGAACUAGAUGUGGGGACCAUUCCACGG
rnacentral:rRNA from 1 species